UCUUGUUCCCUCACUUUGAUCUUCUUCCUCCUCGCUUUGCUCUCGAGUCAAAAUUAAGGUUUCGUUGACGCGUCUUCUCUCUCUCUCCAGAGUAUAAAGGUUGUGUGGAGCUUUCGAAAUCAUUCAAAAAGAAGAUGGAGGUAUUUGGAAAAUCUCCCAUGGUUAGCUCUGCCAAUGUUAUUUACUUGUCUGCGAUUCUAGGCCGCGACUGCGACGCGUCUCACAAAUGCGAUUGGAAAUGCGAGAACGAGAACGUUUUCGGGAACAUGUACCGCUGCAAACUAACUGGACUGACUCACGUCUGCGACAACAACUGUAACCAGAGGAUCCUCUACGAUAACCACACCUCCCUGUGCAGAGCGAGCGGACGGGUUUUCCCUCUCUCGCCUGCUGAGGAGCAGGCGGUGAGAGGUGUUAGGAGGAAGCUUGACAACAGUGAGAGCCUUCCUCCUACUGAGGGGUGUUCGUUUAAGCGUCGUCGUCGCGAUGUGUCUCAGUUCAAAGCUUCUCCUUUCGAGAGGUCUUUCACUGCUGUGAGUCCUAUCUGCAGCCCUGCUGGAGACGGGAUGGACUUGAGUUAGAUCCAUCAAUCAUCUCCCUGAGAGGAUCUUUAAUAAGACGUCCUCAUGUGGUUUUGCUCAGUAGGCAGCAGCACGCUUGGUUUCAUUCAGUGGCAACAUAAGCUGAUGCUUCCUAACGAUUAGAGAAAGGAAGACAGUGAGCAGAUACAGUUACCCUGCGAGGAUGUGAUUGGCCAACUGCGUUCAAAAUGAUCACAUAGUCGUGAAUGUAGAGUUUCUCAUGAAGUUCAUGGAUUCUGGGCUCUUAUGUUACUCCCACCUAAAUGGCUAAA